rnacentral:rRNA from 1 species
GACGUAGGGCGCGAGCGUUGUCCGGAUUUAUUGGGCGUAAAGAGCUCGUAGGCGGCUUGUCGCGUCGUUCGUGAAAACCCGGGGCUCAACUCCGGGCUUGCGGGCGAUACGGGCAGGCUAGAGUUCGGUAGGGGAGACUGGAAUUCCUGGUGUAGCGGUGAAAUGCGCAGAUAUCAGGAGGAACACCGGUGGCGAAGGCGGGUCACUGGCCCGAUACUGACGCUGAGGCACGAAAGCGUGGGGAGCAAACGGG